rnacentral:rRNA from 1 species
GUCUAUGGCCAAGCCACCCUGAACAAGCCCUAUGUCUGAUCUCGAAGCUAAGUAGGGUUGGGCCUGGUUAGUACUUGGGUGAAAGACCACAUAGGAAGACCAGGUGCUGUAGGCA